rnacentral:rRNA from 1 species
UACGUAGGGUGCGAGCGUUGUCCGGAAUUACUGGGCGUAAAGGGCUCGUAGGCGGUUUGUCGCGUCGGGAGGAAUGAACACCGGGCUUAACUCGGUGCUUGCUUUCGAUACGGGCAGACUAGAGGCAUGCAGGGGAGAACGGAAUUCCUGGUGUAGCGGUGAAAUGCGCAGAUAUCAGGAGGAACACCGGUGGCGAAGGCGGUUCUCUGGGCAUGUCCUGACGCUGAGGAGCGAAAGUGUGGGGAGCGAACAGG